AAUCAACGCUGGCGGCGUGCCUCAGACAUGCAAGUCGAACGAUUAAGACUCCCUUCGGGGAGUGCAUAAAGUGGCGCACGGGUGAGUAACACGUAAGUAAUCUACCUUUGAGUGGGGAAUAACAACCGGAAACGGUUGCUAAUACCGCAUAAUGCAGCGGCACCGCAAGGUGACAGUUGUUAAAGAUUUAUCGCUUUAAGAGGAGCUUGCGGCAGAUUAGCUAGUUGGUAAGGUAAUGGCUUACCAAGGCUACGAUCUGUAACCGGUCUAAGAGGACGGUCGGUCACACUGACACUGAAUAACGGGUCAGACUCCUACGGGAGGCAGCAGUCGGGAAUUUUGGGCAAUGGGCGAAAGCCUGACCCAGCAACGCCGCGUGAAGGAUGAAGUAUUUCGGUAUGUAAACUUCGAAAGAAUGGGAAGAAUAAAUGACGGUACCAUUUAUAAGGUCCGGCUAACUACGUGCCAGCCGCCGCGGUAAGAC
rnacentral:rRNA from 1 species